rnacentral:lncRNA from 1 species
GUUAUAAUUAUAUUGAAUGUAACACAUUUAAUGUACUCUAUAAUUUCUAAAAUAAGAAAAAAGAAGAAGAAGAAGUUACAAUUAUUAAGACAUUAGCCGAUAAUGGCCAUCAUCCCAAAGCCAACUUUUGUCUUCAAACGAAGAGAAAGUGAAUUAUUCUCGUUUCCUUUUCUUUUUAAUUGUUGGGGAAUUGGGAUUUGAGAGGACAACAUUUGAUCUUUGCUAAUGAUGAUUGAUCAACAUUAAAAUCAGACAAUAAAAUAUAAGUUAUGGCCUCCAUAAUAUCACAAAACCAUGAUUUUAACAUUUAAUUAUAAAAUAAGUCUCAUCCGGGGCAAUCCAAGUGGUUGUAAUGUACAUUGCUUUAUCUCACGUAAAUCUCAUAUUUAUGUAGAUUUUCAAAUUAUGCUAUGUUAAUGGUCAAAUUGUUAGUAAGUCCUAAGUUAUAUUAUUUGAUCCAAAAGUAGUUGCUUGACUAGCAAAUUUAAACCAAAAAAAUAUUAAUCAACUUCUCCUAUAUCUUCCUCUUAAAUUGUAAAUUAUUUGAUACAUUUUCCGAUCACUUUGUUUUGUGAUUCUACCUUGACUAAUUAGCCAAAAAUAAUUGAUACACCACUCGCAAUAAUUCAAAUUUUCUAAUCCUAAUAUUCAUGAAUUGAUGUAACUCUCAUAACACGUACAAAUAUUUAUGCCAAAUCAACCUAAUUUUUCAGAAAACGACGUUACAAUCCUAAUUAGUUAUAUGCGUCUGCUUCAAUUUUUUAAGAAAUAAAUUACUCGAUAAAAUAAUCACGAGGAGUGGCAACAAAAAUAAUCAUAAAGAUAAAUUUAAAUAACAUUUUAUGAUAAAUUACUUUAAAAUAAUAAUAUGAAAUUUAUUUUCAAUUUCUAAUUAGUAUAUUGCCAACAAUUUAUCAGUUGAGUUGUCAUGCAUUUCCUUACCAAAUUCUUGAGUUCAAAUAUCGAGUCUUCUAACAAAGAUAAGAGUUUAUUUAUUUAUUAUUAACUUCAACUUUAAAAUGUCGAAAUGGCAACACGUAUCGAUUAAUUUAAGCCCUAACAAAUUUAUUAACUAUAUUUUAUUUGUAUGAAAAUUAUCUCUCAAUCAACUCAAGAAUAUCGAAAGUGGAAGCAGUCAUUGUGAGUUUACACUAAUAUUCUUGCUCACCUCAAGUUUUAAUUUUAUAUUAGUUAGUUAUUUUUCCAUUAAUUUCAUUAGUUACUAUUAAAGAAUCUAUGCUAAAAGAUUAUUUUAUUCCUAUAUUCAGUUAAGAAGGUAAAUUGAUGAUUUUAUGCUUUGUUUUUCAUUUUGGGGAUAAAAUAGACUUUUAUCUUGGAUUCUUUAAUGGUGGUUAUUGGAAUUAAUGGAAAAGUAAUUAGUUGAUAUAUAAUUAAAACAUAAGGUAAUGUAGAGAUAUUAUCAAAAAUUUGUGGUGGCUACUUAUAGUUUUAAUAUUUUAAAGGUAGUUGGUAGAUAAUUUCUUUUCUUUUUUGUUUUGGUAUUGUACAAGAAUAAAAAACAAAAAAAAGUGCUUGACGAGUAUUUUGUAGCCACCCGUGAAUCCGUAGAGCGGCACGCGUUGCAUGCUUAUAACGACGUGGAAGUGGAAACCUUCUCAGUUAAACUUUCCCUAACGCAUGAACUAAAGUAAAAGGACAAACGGAAGCUUCCACGCGCUAACAAUUGGUUGAAAAGUUAAGCUACAAACGUCACCGUUGGAUUCAUUCCAACUUGGCCAGUUGUCCGUCGGAUUUUCAAAACGGAGAAUUUCAGCGAGUGGUCUUCGAAUUUUUCUAAAAUUAGACAGGAAGCAACAACGGGGAUGGAAUUAGUCAGAAAUUGGGGCGAGAUUAACGCGGCAAAGCAAAGGCAAAGCAACGCUUCUCGGUAAAUACAAAAAAAUUUAGUGGUAUUAUUGGAAGAAUGUAGAAAAGCAGAAAUAAAAAAACAUAACAUGACGGCGGUUUCGUGAGUGGUUUAACUUUUGAAUAAUCUUAGCGCCACAUUCGGUAAGAUUCUCACAGAGUCUUUUCGCCCGUUGGAUUUGGUCUUUCUGUGGGUCCCGCUCCCACAUAUCGAAUCAACCGUACAGAAGCUGACUUUUUUCACAGCAAAAAUCAACCAUGCCUGAAUCACUGUAUGGUGCCAGCUUUAUUUCUUUAAAAAAAAUAUAUAAAUUGCAUUGACUAGACAUUCACUAAGUUUACUAAAUUAGUUAUAACAAAAAUUGUGUUAAAUAUGUUUCAUAUGGAAGCGUAUUAAGUGCAUUAAUAAAA